UAACCGAAAACCUGCUACGAGAAAUGCCACAAGCACACGUCGCUGUGUGACGCUUCGGACAAAUGCAUUAACUGCCAACACAACACGGAGGGGUACAAGUGCGAGCGGUGUAAGGCCGGGUACUGGGGAGAUUCCACCAUAGGCACGCCUCAAGACUGCUUACCGUACGCCGUGUAUGGAGGAAAGGUCCCGACGUCGGGAGCGAAGCCCCAGCCGCCCUUGCCGUCAACAAAGUGCGACUGUAACAAGAAUUCCGACAAGUGUGACCCGCAAGGGAACUGUCUGGAUUGUCAGAACAACACAGAGGGUAAGAAGUGCGACCGCUGUAAGACCGGAUUCAGAGGAGACGCCACCACGCAACAGUGCGUCCCCAAGAAGGCAAAGGACGCCUGGCACCCCUACCCAUACCUCUUAUAAUUAAUUUAUUCAGAAAGCAGCCAUAGCUAAUCUCCAGGCAGAUUUACCAGUGGCAUAAGAUAGCAUCAAAGCUGGCUAAGGAGUACAGCUGGCCAAAGGGAGUCAACAGCCACUUCUGUAGCCAAACAUACUCCUAGGCCGGCUUCCCUCCUCUGGCAGCUUUUGAUACUAUCUUACGCUACCGUGGAAUCUGCUUGGAGAUUAGCCAUAUGCAUAGCAAGAGAAGUUUAAUUCUGAAAACAGCUACAGCAAAACAACCAUCACUGUACAUUUUCUGUAUACGUUGCUGAUACAUCCAGACCUUAAAGUAAGUCAGAAAAACAAAGAAUUUGUUUUGAAAUUGAUGAAGUGACCAUUUUGCUCCGCCAUAUUUGCUGAUGUUGUACGGCUUAUUAUUAUGAUGAAGUUUUCAAUUGUGAUGCAAUAGGCGGGGCAAAUGAGUUUUGUUAUGCUAUACAUGAUGGGUUGCUCGGGGAAAAAUGGUGAAAAGUCGCACGGUUCGAAAUUGCAGCUAUAAAGAUGUGUAAGAGAUUGAAGCGAGCCUGACUGGAGCAGUCGGGAGGACCAGUGAUUUUGCACUGCACAAAAUCUGAUUUUGAAGCACGCGUUAUGCAUCCGUAAAGUAUGACUCACAUGACAAAAGAUGUAUCUUUACGCACGCUUUGAUGCAUAUGCUAUUCAAUUGAAUUUUGUGCAGUGAAUUGUUAAUACUACUUUUUUCAAAGAUAUCGAUAUUUUUUUCGGUAUAAUUUCACGGUUUUGUAUUACAGUACAACGCACUUUGUUUUAUACAUUCAUUAUUUAUGUUAUUUAAUCGUUUGUUGUGAAUAGAUCUAGAAAACUGUUUUUAUUUAGCUCUUCAAGAGUUGCGAAUGAAAGGACAAUCAAAUUACUUCCUUUUUUACAUAGAUAUGUUUUCAGAUAACGUUCUGUAGAGGUAACUAUUCUAACACCUAUUUAUAAAUCUACCUCUUUCGGACCUAUUGUUUCUACAUAUACAGUCAGGGUUUCGUUGAAUCACUGCCGAUACUUUCUGUUCACACUUCCUAGUACAUCGCACAUGACUCUGGUACACAAAUAAAAUCAAGUUUGUUGCGAUCAAAUCCAAA